UUGUUUUGCUUUCUAAAAUUUUCCAGGGUUGAAGUCUGCAAGUUGGCAGGGUCCUUUUUCAUUUAGUAGUAGAUGUAACCCUUGCAUUUCUGCCAUGCAGACUUAGCAGCAGUUGUCUGAUUCCAUUCAUUGUUCCUGAUGAAAUGAGGUUAGCAUGAUGAAUUGUCAGAGAACCUAAACUCGAAAGAAGUUAUAUAAGAUCCAUGAAGACCUUGUGUGACAAGACCUUGAUCAUUGGGUUUUUAUUGACUAGUGAGCGAAGGCAUCUUUCCAGGCUGGAAAUACUUUCUGUUUUGGUGGUUCCAGGAUUGGAGGCAAGAUGCAUUGCAUUCUGACAGCGCUGAUAUCAUUUAAAUCAGAUCACAGCCUUGGAGAUGUGAUUCAAGAGUUAUUAGUAAAGGGAGAUUGAGCUCAAAAUGCACAUUAAGUGACUGUCUUGAGUUAAAUGAAUGUACAUCUAUUUUGCGUAAUUUUGGUUUUGUCGGGCAGGUUGCUAUUAAAAGAAUAAAGAGAAAGUACUACUCUUGGGAGGAGUGUAGGAAUCUUAGAGAAGUAAAGUCCUUACGGAAGAUGAACCAUCCCAACAUUGUGAAGCUGAAGGAGGUUAUCAGAGAAAAUGAUGUUUUGUACUUCAUUUUUUAGUAUAUGGAGUGCAACCUUUAUCAGCUCAUGAAAGAUAGGGGAAAACCUUUUUCAGAGAUUGAAGUCAGGAACUGGUGCUUCCAAGUAUUUCAAGCUCUUGCUUACAUACACCAGCGUGGAUAAUUCUAUCGUGAUCUUGAGCCAGGCUUGAGCAGCUGCGGAUGUUGUCAAUCCCAUCGACAUGUGUUCCAACAAUUCGAACAGCUUUGGAUGCAGCAGGUUUCCCUGAUGUGUCUAUCAUGUCGUGUACUGCUAAGUAAUUCUUUUGCCAUUUCCUUAUGAUUAG